UCUCCUUAGCGUCUUCGAGGAAGCCGACGGGCUCUGUAGGGCCGCCUCCUGAGGCAAGGCGGUGCCCGCUCCCUCCCACCGCCCGGGGGCGGCCAUGCCGCUCCGCCUUCCCCGGCCGGGCACUACGGAAGCGAAGGCGGCAGGGGCCGGGUCCCCGUCCCUGCCGGCCCCCGGGAGCCGGAGCGGAGAGCCCGGCCGGGCGGCAGCCUCCGGGGUAGCCAUCGCCGGGGCUCCAUGGAGAAGCGGGGCGCCCCGCCGCCGCGGGGCCCGGUGCUGCACAUCGUGGUGGUGGGCUUCCACCACAAGAAGGGCUGCCAGGUUGAAUUCUCCUACCCUCCUCUAAUGCCUGGAGAAGGGCACGACAGCCACGGCUUACCAGAGGAAUGGAAGUACUUGCCAUUUCUUGCCUUGCCAGAUGGCGCUCACAACUACCAGGAAGAUACCGUGUUUUUCCAUUUACCACCAAGAUGUGGGGAUCAAACUACAGUAUAUGGUGUCUCUUGCUAUAGGCAGAUUGAAGCAAAGGCAUUAAAAGUACGGCAAGCAGACAUCACCCGAGAAACAGUGCAGAAAAGUGUCUGUGUUCUCAGUCAGCUGCCUUUGUAUGGGUUACUUCAGGCAAAGCUGCAGCUCAUUACCCAUGCGUAUUUUGAGGAGAAAGACUUCUCGCAAAUUUCAAUUCUAAAGGAACUUUAUGAUCAUAUGAAUAGUUCCUUGGGAGGGACUUCACUAGAAGGGUCACAAGUUUAUCUUGGUCUGUCUCCUCGGGAUCUUGUUCUUCAUUUUAGGCACAAGGUCUUGAUCCUUUUUAAAUUGAUUCUUCUAGAGAAAAAGGUGCUGUUUUAUAUUUCUCCAGUAAAUAGAUUGGUGGGAGCUCUGAUGACGGUCUUGUCACUAUUUCCUGGUAUGAUUGAACAUGGUCUUACAGACUGCUCACACUAUAGACCAAGAAAGAGCAUAUCGGAGGAUGCUGUCUUGCAAGAAAUUACACCACGGUUAGAUGACUCUGUAUCUGCUGCUGAUACUUCAAAUACAAACUUGGGAAUGGGGAAGGGAGGCAGGAAGAUGGCAGGAAACCAUUCGCUGGGAGGUCAAAACACAAACGUGCCUUUCUCCCAGUCAGAGAAGAUUUGCAACGGAGCUCAGUCCUCCAAUGGUACCGUGCAGCACUUGAAAGUUCCUUCCCGCACUUCUCCAGAGUCCUCUGAAAGUGAAUGGGAGACCUUAGAUCCCAGCAUUUUAGAGGAGUCUAAUAUGAAAGAAGGAGUACGUGAAAACGCAGCAUCAGAACAGGCUGAAAAUCUCCCAAGUGAAUGCAGGAGUUCUGAAACCCUUCCAAUCACUGUCCAGCCCCAGGCAAAUACAGGACACACAGUGCUUGUUCCAGGACUCGUAUCUGGGUUGGAAGAGGACCAGUAUGGUAUGCCGUUGGCUAUUUUUACAAAGGGUUACCUUUGCUUGCCAUACAUGGCACUGCAGCAGCAUCAUCUCCUGUCGGAUGUAACAGUCCGCGGCUUUGUUGCAGGAGCCACCAAUAUCCUGUUCCGUCAGCAAAAGCACCUGAGCGACGCAAUUGUGGAAAUAGAAGAUGCUCAUGUACAAAUCCAUGAUCCAGAACUCCGUAAGAUCCUGAACCCUACAACCGCUGACCUAAGAUUUGCAGAUUACUUGGUGAAGCAUGUAACUGAGAACAGAGAUGAUGUUUUCCUUGAUGGCACUGGAUGGGAAGGAGGAGAUGAGUGGAUCAGGGCUCAGUUCAGUGCUUACCUUCACGCGCUGCUUGCUGCUGUGCUGCAACCAGACAAUGAGAAGACUUUGUCAGACUUUGGAACACCAUUUGUAGUAGCCUGGAAGAAUACUCACAACUACAGAGUAUGGAAUAGCAAUAAGCAUCCAGCUCUUGCAGAAGUAAAUUCUAGCCACCCAUUCCAGGGACAAUACUCUGUAUCAGAUGUUAAGUUAAGAUUGUCACACUCUGUGCAAAACAGUGAACGUGGAAAGAAGAUUGGAAACGUGAUGGUUUCCACUAGCCGAAAUGUUGUGCAAACAGGAAAAGCUGUAGGUCAGUCAGUUGGAGGAGCCUUCACAAGUGCAAAAUCAGCCAUGUCAUCAUGGUUUUCCACUUUUACACAGUCAACCCAAAGUCUCGGGGACUAAGUGAUGGUUUUGCACGGUGCUGCUGAAUGUUUCAGGUGCAAUGGUAUCUCUGAGCUGUAAAAAGACUGCUCCAAAACACAGGAGUGGAGACUAACUAUCCAGGACCAAAACAAGGCGUAUGUUGCUUGCAAGAAGAUGUGGAAUGUUAUCAUCCAGUUUCACUAGAAGUAUAGAAUGGGAUUUAAGCAGUCAACUUUCAUUUCAAAGACAUCCAUUUCUGCAUGGCAAGAAAUACAAAGUACUAAAUGAAUCGGUGACAGCACCUCUUGUGAGUAAACUGUGAAGGCAUUGCUACACCUCAGUCAUAAUGUAUGUCGCAAAGAUAAUUCUGAUCAUUAAUGUAGAGUGUGAACUGAUUUACAAAUAAUACAAUAACACUUCUUUCUCAGCUUUCUGGCAUCAAAGCAUCAACCUCCGCUAUUUGUAGUUACCAACAUUUGAGGAACUGCCUAUUGAGUAUACGCAGCUACAAGUCCCCAAAAUAACACAAAAUUAAGUAUCGUUGACCUAAUACUUCAUUUGACUAAAAUGUUCAGCAUUUUUCAUCGUUUUUCUGUCAUAACCUUAAUUCAUGUGCAUAUCUGACAGCUUUUUCCUCAAAUGUAACAAUGUAAUAAUCACCUUUAGAUCACUCUCCUAGUACAUUGCAUUUGUUUGACUUUGUACAUCUGUUUUAAGCACCUUUGUAAUUAAAUUUAGUAUUUUGUCGAAACAAGCUUCUUACUUCCAUAGAAAUUAUUACUAAGCAGAGAAACUAAUGUGGCCGUAUUUAAUUGUGAAAGUGGAGGUGUGAAUGCAGUUUUUAAACAUAGAAACUCUUACUUGAUAAUUGAAAAUACAAGUAAUGUAUUUGAUUUUUCUUGUGCUGCUUAAAAAUAAAUACAUCCAGCCUAUUUAAAGCUGUCUGUUCAAAAAGCUGUAUUAAUUUGAGAAGUUAAUCCCAUUAGGAGACACUAGCAGGCAUGUGUUUUUGAUAUUGAUAGCUGCUUAUAAGACACUGUCAGUGUUUUUGAAACUUGUCUUCUAUUUAAACUGAUUAUGGAUGUUGCUUUUGCAAAUUUAGGGUGAGAGUAUCAUGUAGUGUGAUGUUUUAUUCCCCGCUGUGUUCUGCUCGUUGUGAAUCGAGUUAAAGUCUUCAGUAGGUCACAGGCGUCUCUCACACCAGUAAGAACUUUAGGUACGACUGUAAAAUUUUGAACUAGAUUUAGUUUCAAAAUAAUACAUAGUUGACGUGGAUUGCAGUAUCUAGUCAAAAUCAGGAUGCUGAGUAAAUUAAUUGCUGUACGUUCAUCUCUCUGCAAUUGUCAGGUAUUCAUUGAAGGUUUAUUUUAAAACUUGAAUACUUCUACCGUAACUACCAAAUCAUUGUUAGCUAGAUACAGUGGCAAAUUACUAGUUCCAAUAGGAGGAAACUAGUGGCGUUGAAGAACGCUUAGGUGUGAGUUAUACAUAGCAUAUGUCUGAAAAACUGUUGUAAUUCUCUAAAAUUGUUAAUAAAUAAAUAAAUCUGACCAUAUGCAACUAGUUGUUCAAAGACAGCGAAAAAUAAACUCUUAUGUUCAUGCAGUGCAAUUGUACUUUAUUUAGUUAUUAUUAGAAAGAGCAUUAUGAAGAGUGUUCAUAAAAGGUGGAAACAUUACAUUAUAGUAAUGCAAUUAAAGAUUUAUGAAGAAUUCCUUCACUCUGUUUUUACUUUUUAAUAUUGUAGUGGAGAGAUUAGAAGGAGGUGCAGAGCUAUAAUUGUGUGAUGUUUCUGUUCUUGACCCUGUUCUUUAUCAAAAACUGGAAGUACUAUUUAGGUUCAUAUACAAUACAUUUGGAGAUGGAUCACUUCUGUUAGUGUCAGUGAAGUGGUGAACUUACUCUCCUUAUUUUAUUCCCGGUAAGGAGACACGAUGCACAUGUGUGACAUCUGCACAGACAGCUAGACUUCCAAGUCUUAUCACAGCCAAGAUUAAGCUAUCUUGUUGAGUCCUUUAUUUCUGUAAGGAUUCAAAGUUUCCUAACUAUAGACAAUUGAUAGAUUUUUUUGUUGUUGUUUUGUAGCCUAAAUUUACUAAUGUUGAUGAAAGCAUAAUUACUACUUUCCUCAGUAGUAGCAGAAUUACAGAAUCAUAGAAUAUCCUGAAUUGGAAGGGACCCACAAGGAUCAUCGAGUCCAAACACCUACAAAAUACUCUUUUCUUGCCCUCUUCUAGAUCACUGAGAAGGUAGGAGUGGUUUCUAGAUGAGGUGAACAUCAAGAAAAUCAAGAAUGUUUAGACUGAAUGAAGAACGCUUAUCUAAUGUGAAGGCAGAUACAGAGUUGUUUUCUUAAGAACCGUGUGGGGAUAGUACCACUUGGUUUAGUUUCACAAUUCCAGC